rnacentral:rRNA from 1 species
AUUGAACGCUGGCGGUAGGCUUAACACAUGCAAGUCGUGCGAGAAAGUAUCUUCGGAUAUGAGUAGAGCGGCGGACGGGUGAGUAACGCGUAGGAAUCUACCUAGUAGAAGGGGAUAGCCCGGGGAAACUCGGAUUAAUACCGUAUACCUCCUUCGGGAGAAAGAGGGCCUCUCUUUGAAGCUUUCGCUAUUAGAUGAGCCUGCGUAAGAUUAGCUUGUUGGUGAGGUAAAGGCUCACCAAGGCGACGAUCUUUAGCGGGUCUGAGAGGACGAUCCGCCACAUUGGGACUGAGACACGGCCCAGACUCCUACGGGAGGCAGCAGUGGGGAAUAUUGGACAAUGGGCGCAAGCCUGAUCCAGCCAUACCGCGUGUGUGAAGAAGGCCCUAGGGUUGUAAAGCACUUUAAGUUGGGAAGAAAAGUUAUUGGUUAAUACCCAAUAACCGUGACAUUACCAUCAGAAUAAGGACCGGCUAAUUCCGUG